GUCUACAGCCAUGCCACCCUGAACAUGCCCAAUCCUGUCUGAUCUCGGCUAAGCAGAGUCGGGCCUGGUUAGUACUUGAGUAGGAGACCACCUAGGAAGACCAGGUGCUGUAGGUG
rnacentral:rRNA from 1 species